AUGAACUACCACCUCGUGAAUUAGAAGAUAUAUUCCAAGGAACUGGAUGCAAACCACUUGGAACACCAGAAAUGUGUAUUAUGCCAGAAUGGCUUCCUGAGUUACCUGCAUUCAUUGGCUGUGAAAUUGGUUGUCUGGGGCCCAAAUAAUUAGAUUCUGAAAUAGGUCGAGGCAUUACAAGAGUAGACCCAACACUAGAAUGCCCUAAAUCUGUCCCAAGAUUCCGUCCACUACCAGAAUUUCUGGCGGAGGUUUCUGCAACUCCACUAGCACCCCCUCUUGUUCCAACCAUAUUUCUUGGAUAAAGGUUUUCCAAGUGAUAAGUAUUCUGCACACUUGCUGAGGCUGGUGAUAUGUUUAAGUUGCUGGAAGCAUCAUAUUGACUUGGAAAAUUGUGUGCUAUAAUGUUCACAGGUUGUGUAUUGGAGCUUGAACUUCUACCACAAGACUGCCCAGAACUGCCUUCAAGGACCUUGCGCUUGCAGG
rnacentral:misc_RNA from 1 species